GGGAAUGUGACUUAAAGGUAGAGUGCUUGCCUAGCAUGCAUGAAACCCUGAGUUCAAUUUCUCGGUACCA
rnacentral:tRNA from 1 species